rnacentral:lncRNA from 1 species
UUUUUUUUUUUUUUUUUUUUUUUUUUUGCUAAAGUCAGGGCCUUCUCUAUCAUGAACUAACUCUCCCACCCCUCUUCUCAGUUUUAUUUAAAACCAUAGAGUAGCCCUCUCAAUUCAACCAAGGGAAAAAAUAGUGGAAUGAACAAAAGUCAAGCUUGAUACCUGUGCUUUCUGAAGCAGUUCAAUCGUAAGAGGAAGCCAAUCAGGAAUGAGUUUCUCCAUUUCCAGACUAACCAUGGCCAGAGCAAGCAUGGACCCUUUGAACUGCAGAAGUUGGUUGCAGGCCAUACAGUGAAGCAGCUGCUUGGUCAGGACUGCCAAAUGUUGAGAUGGGCUCAAUUUGGGCAAACUGAAAAGUAACUGAGGCCUAGCUGACACCGCAAUGGCAUGGAACUGGAGGUUUGGGGGAGAAAACACAAAAUUGUUACUUAAGGAAAAUAUCUAAGAAAGUAUACACAGAAAUAACAUCUCAGGUACGAUGCAAGUUUGUAACUUUUAUCUGUGGUGAUUUGAUACAUUUUCAGAGUCUAAUUUUUUCCUUGACUAACUUUAAUAGUUUCCCCUAAAUCCAUAGGAAGAGGCAACCUCUGUCCAAGUUACUGGACUAGGACUUUGUAUUCCAAGUAAGAACUAAAACAUUUUAGAUAUACUUACAAUGUGAAGAAAAUCCAAUGGUGUAGCCGUGUGAAGAUCCCAAUUCAAUUUAUCCAGAAUAAUUCUCUCCAUUCUCAAAAUCUCAGAUGAGGAACAUCCACAGAAACUGUCUCUUGCCAAUACCUUUAGCACUGGAAUUUUCUAUCCAAGGCAAAAGGAGUAAGAAACAAGGUCAGAAAUGUAAAUAGAGAAAAAUAAUAUUAAAAAACCAAAAUGAACUGGAGAGGUGGCUCAGUCGCUAAGAGCAGGGCUGCUUUUCCCAGGCCUAAGUUCAAUUCUCAACUACAUGGCAACUCACAACUGUCUUUAUACCAGUCCCAGGGAAACCAAUGCCGUUCUGACUUGUGUGCACCAGGCAUGCAUGCAGUGUACUUACAUACACUGGGGCAAAACACUAAAAAUCAGGAGGCAGAGGCAGGCAGGCAGUUGUAGGAGAGCCUGGUCUACCAAGCAAGUUCUAGGACAACCAGGGCUACCCGAAGAAGUCCUGUCUUAAAUAAAUAAAUAAAUAAAUCUUUCAAAGAGACAGCUGAUCUUCCAAAGAAGCAUAUUAGAGGAUUAAUGCAUCAAAAACACUUAACUAAAAUUGGAGUUUUAAAGACAGCAUUCAUUUUUAAGCCUCUCAAGGCUCAAGUAGCCUGGCCCUGCCCCUAUAUACUCUUUAAUGGUUGUUUCCAGCCCCUCAAGGUGCAGGCACCCAAAUUACACCCUACAGAGAAAAAGAGCCCAAGAUCAGGCCAAAGAAUUCUACCAUUCCAGACCAUCCCACAAACCAUCUCCCACAGUUCUAAGGAGCCCUAUAUACAGUCUGUCUCCUGCUCAGUUCUUUGCUGUUUCUCUCCUGAGCACAGGCGGCUGGCCUCCUAUGUCUUUCCCAAUCUCUCAUGUGAGGCUUGUUGUGUGGUGUGACUCUAUGGUAUUUCUUGGCUCCUGACUACCAGGAGACCUUUACUCUCAGAGCUGAACAUUUACAUAUUUAGUAAUAAAGGUUUCAUUAAAAACAAACAAAAAAAGCCUCCAAGUGAACCAACCAAACCUAAAGAAUAAACCUUGAAAGGAUUCCUUACCUCAUCUUCCUCAACAGUCUUAGCAGCCAGAAAAAAACAGCUGAUUGCAAUACAAUUCAAAUAUUUUGGAUGGGCCUAAAAUUUU